GCUCUUACUGAGUGGAGAAGAGGUCAGAAUUGCUGCGAAGCCAAUUUGAGUUAUAGCCUUUGUGACCUCAGAGGCCAGGGAAGUGUUCAUGGUGUGUUCAAGGAAGAUGAAGACGCCAUUGCAACAAUGGAGAGGACAUUUGAGUGCCAGCGGCUUUGCAUCCUAAUGAUUUUAAGAGGAAAUGACAUUAAAAAGCAUUGAAAGUAUAGUACAGCAAUAAUAAAAGAACAGAGGUUAAAUUAUCUAAUCCUUUACUAAACUGAUCCAAACUGAAGUGUGGGUGGAAUGGGUGUGUUAAAACUUACUUGCAAAGCCAAACUAUAUAAUUUCACAGGAAGAAAACUAAAAGCCUAGUAAAAGCUCCGUGGCAUCCCAUGAUUUCAAGAGUGUCUCUAGCCCAGACCUCUCCCAAGCUCCAGAUUCACACAUCCAGCUGUCUGUCCAUCUCCACUUAGAGGCUUAAUGGGCGUCAUAUUUACUAUACCUCGGCUAAGCUCUUCCUCCGUCUCUGCUUCCACCCCAUCUCCCGUAUUCUACAUCUCCGGAAGUGGUGCUGACAAGUCUCCCAUGAUUUCUCUCUUCCUGAAAACUUGAGAUUAAUGCAGUGUUAUAUUAUGAUAUGUGCAAUUUCCAAGAGAACAAUGGAAUUAUCAAGUUAUACCCUAAUGCUCAUUUAAUAACACAGGCCAGUCCUACCACUUCCACUUCAACUGGAAUGGCUAUGUUUUGACCUCUUUUGCUUAUCCUAAUAAAGAUGUGAUUUGAAGAUGGGGUGCCUUGGCUAAAAAUAUUUGAAGUGUCUAUUAGUUAUGUAAGUAGAGGGGAGUGUGUGUUGCAUUUUGGGUGAUUUUUUCAGUAUUGUCUUCCGUUUCACUCAUUCACUCUUUACUAUAUCUACCUUACAUUGUUCAUUGCAUUUUAAAUAUUAAACUAUAUUUUUGUUUCCAUGAUUUCUAA